rnacentral:lncRNA from 1 species
AAGAUUUUGGGUGGGCCAAGUGGGUGGGGGUCAUUGUGAAAUGAAAGGUGGGUCUGGACCCCAGGAAUCUUCUCAGGCAGAUCAGUUUUAGGAAUUUGAGCAUCUGAAAAUCGAGUCCCUUAAAACUCCUCACGGGGCCGGCCCAGUGGCGCAGCGGUUAAGUGCGCACGUUCUGCUUCUCGGCGGCCCAGGGUUCGCCGGUUCAGAUCCCGGGUAUGGACAUGGCACCACUUGGCAUGCCAUGCUGUGGCAGUGUGGAGGGCGGACUGGAAGCGGUUUGAAGACAGCGAGAGGCCCAGCUGGGCACCAUGAUGGCUUACACUUCGAUAGUGACCGUGCGUGGAGAGCAAGAAGUGAAUUCCUCAUGUUUGGCCUUUUUGGAGAGAACUUUGGCAGUCUCGACUACAAAUGGACAAAUACCCUCAGAAUCAAUAAAUCUACUUGAAUGUCGUGGUUCAUUAACAUCAGACUGGUUACAUGAAUACACAAGGAUGACUCGUGAAAUGCUAUGCAGCAGUUAAAAAGAAAGAAGUAGAGCCAAAUAUAUUGUCAUAGAAAGAUUUCCAAGACAUUAGGUGGAAAAAGCAAGUUGCUGGAUAAUACGUACACUUUUACCCCAUUUCUGUAAAAACUAAAUAAAACAAUACAUUUCUAUAUGUAAAUGUAUAGAAACUACUGAUGACAGUGAUUUUUCUCUGGGGAGGGGAAGUAAGAUCAGAGGAAGGUCAAGUGGACUUUUAUUGUUUCCAGUUUUUACAAAGAAAUAUUGAUUCAACAAAUAUGUAUCCAGUGCCUGUCAUGUGUCCCACCCACAUCUAGCCGGGUGUCAGAGAUAAAGAUAGAGCAUGGAUAAAGGCCGUGAGGUCGUGACUCUUGUGGUCUGGGAUGAAAGAGUGGGAUUUACUCAUUUGAUAGGCAAAUACAAAUGAAGAAAGAAGAAAAAGAAGCAAAGAGGUAACCUUUUGCAAGAGAUAGCUAAGAGGUGUGAGCCAGAGGAGUUCAUUGACUGCAGGUGAUAAAUGAGGACACAGGAGGAAUGAAGAACACCUUCAAGUUUCAGGCCUGAGUAACCAGGUGGCAUUUGGUUUCAUCUCCUGAUGGGAUGGAAACAGGUUCUGUGGGGCAUGGAACUCAUUCAGCUGGUGGAGUGGGGAGCCCUUUAAGAGAAAAUUCAAGUUUACAAAUACAAAAUUAGAUUUGAACAUGGAUAUUUAUUUAGAAUGAGAAGAAAAAUCACACACACAAAAAAUGAGUUUUUACAAGCUGACAUACCAGAAAAAUCC